rnacentral:rRNA from 1 species
UAUCRGGGUAAACCUGAGAAACCCGAAAGGUCGAAAGAGGAAAUUCAUUCGCGUUUCGAUCGUCGAAAUCGAACGUUUUUAUGACGAACGAAUAUAAGUGUAUUUCGGUGCAUUUGUAUAAUCAGUUCGCGUAUUAUGUUCGAGYUUUUAUCGAUAUCGAACGCGUGCACUUUUCCUCUAGUAGGACGUCGUGAUCCGUUGGGUGUCUAUCUAAGACUCGAGAUCGAAGACCACGUGAUAUUAAUGAAAAUUAAUGAUUGCGUGGACUCUCGAUGUUCCGAUAGACUCGCUCGACGGUAUAAAUGUGGCGCGGGGCCGCUAAUUAUAUAUAAUUAGCGUUCGGUCCGUAGCAAGCACGUUUCGUGUUUGACGGUAAUCGGACCUGGUGCCGAUUCUGUCCCGGAACGACUGUUGGUUACGGUAUUUUCAUCGAACAGACCUCGAUUAUGAAACGCCGAUCGACGACGCUAUAGAUUUGGGUACUUUCAGGACCCGUCUUGAAACACGGACCAAGGAGUCUAGCAUGUGCGCGAGUCAUUGGGAUAUAACUAAACCUAAAGGCGUAAUGAAAGUAAAGGUUUGCCUUGCGUAGACCGAGGGAAGAUAAGCGAUUUGCCCUUAAAAGUGAUCGCUUCGCAUUCCCGGGGCGUCUCGUUCUCAUUACGAGAAGAGGCGCACCAAGAGCGUACACGCUGGGACCCGAAAGAUGGUGAACUAUGCCUGGUCAGGACGAAGUCAGGGGAAACCCUGAUGGAGGUCCGUAGCGAUUCUGACGUGCAAAUCGAUCGUCGGAACUGGGUAUAGGGGCGAAAGACUAAUCGAACCUCUAAU